CGCCAAUUGGACGCAAUGAAAUGUUGAGUAACAGAAAAAAUAAGCUUGUAACCUCAAACAUGCAAGCUUGUUAUGAUGCAUCGUUGUCAUUAUCAUGUACCCUUAAUCAAGAUGAAAAUGUGGAUCCCCUUACGAUAUCAGGUAGCCUUCUUAUCUAUUUUAAGUUUCAACCUAAUGAGUUAGCAUUGUACAUGGGUACUGUCUUUUUAGUAAGAUGGAUUGUUUCCUUUGUUCAAAUAGCUAACCCAGCUAAUAUGACAAAAGAAGCUGUCUUGAAUAACACCAAGGAAACAAGGCAGAUACCUCCAGUUGGGCUCAAAAAAAAUUGAUGGACGAACAAAGAAAGCAGAUAAACGCAAAGAGGCGGGCUUCUUAUCGAAAGAAAAGAGAUAUGCUUAUAGGAGAUGAAAAUCUUGCUCCACAUACAAUGACAAGGGUUGGCUUGGAUAACACCAAAGAAAUUAGGCUAAUACGUCCAGGUGGAUGCAAUAAAAACUUGACUGUCGAAAAAAGGUAGCAGAUAAAUGCAAAAAAGACGGGCUUCUUAUCAGAAGAAAAGAGAGAUGCUUAUCGAAGAUGAAAAACUUACUCUCCAUACGAUAUCAACAUCGCGUCCUUCAGCUACACUAAAGACUGAUGAAAAACUGACACCCCUUACGGUAUCAGGUAAUUUUAUACCAUGC